rnacentral:rRNA from 1 species
ACGGGAGGCAGCAGUGGGGAAUAUUGCACAAUGGGGGAAACCCUGAUGCAGCGACGCCGCGUGAGUGAAGAAGUAUUUCGGUAUGUAAAGCUCUAUCAGCAGGGAAGAUAAUGACGGUACCUGACUAAGAAGCCCCGGCUAACUACGUGCCAGCAGCCGCGGUAAUACGUAGGGGGCAAGCGUUAUCCGGAUUUACUGGGUGUAAAGGGAGCGUAGACGGUUUGGCAAGUCUGAAGUGAAAGCCCGGGGCUCAACCCCGGUAUUGCUUUGGAAACUGUUGAACUAGAGUGCCGGAGGGGUAAGCGGAAUUCCUAGUGUAGCGGUGAAAUGCGUAGAUAUUAGGAGGAACACCAGUGGCGAAGGCGGCUUACUGGGCGGUAACUGACGUUGAGGCUCGAAAGCGUGGGGAGCAAACAGGAUUAGAUACCCUGGUA